CCUACGGGUGGCAGCCGUGAGGAAUAUUGGUCAAUGGGCGCUAGCCUGAACCAGCCAAGUAGCGUGCAGGCUGAAUGCCCUCUGGGUUGUAAACUUCUUUUAUAUGGGAAUAAAGUGCAGUUUGUAUACUGCUUUUCAUGUACCUUAUGAAUAAUGAUCGGCUAACUCCGUGCCAGCAGCCGCGGUAAUACGGAGGAUCCGAGCGUUAUCCGGAUUUAUGGGGUUUAAAGGGAGCGUAGGCGGGUUGUUAAGUCAGUUGUGAAAGUUUGCGGCUCAACCGUAAAAUUGCAGUUGAUACUGGCAGCCUUGAGUACAGUAGAGGUAGGCGGAAUUCGUGGUGUAGCGGUGAAAUGCUUAGAUAUCACGAAGAACUCCGAUUGCGAAGGCAGCCUGCUGGACUGUAACUGACGCUGAUGCUCGAAAGUGUGGGUAUCAAACAGGAUUAGAUACCCCAGUAGUC
rnacentral:rRNA from 1 species